rnacentral:rRNA from 1 species
AUACGGAGGGUGCAAGCGUUAAUCGGAAUUACUGGGCGUAAAGCGUACGUAGGCGGUUAUUUAAGUCAGAUGUGAAAGCCCCGGGCUUAACUUGGGAACUGCAUUUGAAACUGGGUAACUAGAGUUUAGUAGAGGGGAGUGGAAUUUCAGGUGUAGCGGUGAAAUGCGUAGAGAUCCGAAGGAACACCAGUGGCGAAGGCGACUCCCUGGACUAAAACUGACGCCGAGGUACGAAAGCGUGGGUAGCAAACAGGAUUAGAAACCCCAGUAGUCC